rnacentral:rRNA from 1 species
UACGGAGGGGGCUAGCGUUGUUCGGAAUUACUGGGCGUAAAGCGCACGUAGGCGGACGAGAAAGUCAGAGGUGAAAUCCCAGGGCUCAACCUUGGAACUGCCUUUGAAACUUCUUGUCUUGAGGUCGAGAGAGGUGAGUGGAAUUCCGAGUGUAGAGGUGAAAUUCGUAGAUAUUCGGAGGAACACCAGUGGCGAAGGCGGCUCACUGGCUCGAUACUGACGCUGAGGUGCGAAAGCGUGGGGANCAAACNGGAUUAGAACCU